CUUGUCUCAAAGAUUAAGCCAUGCAUGUCUAAGUAUAAACAACUUUAUACUGUAAAACUGCGAACGGCUCAUUAUAUCAGCAAUUAUUUAUUUGAUGGUCUCUUACUACAUGGAUAACUGUGGUAAUUCUAGAGCUAAUACAUGCUGUAAGCCCGACUUUUCGGAAGGGCCGUAUUUAUUAGAUAACAGACCAAUGCCCCCCCGGGCUUUGUGGUGACUCAUAGUAACUAAUCGGAUCGCAUGGGCCUGUCCCGCGACAAACCAUUCAAGUUUCUGCCCCAUCAGCUUUCGAUGGUAGUGUAUUGGACUACCAUGGCUUUUACGGGUAACGGAGGAUUAGGGUUCGAUUCCGGAGAGGGAGCCUGAGAAACGGCUACCACAUCUAAGGAAGGCA
rnacentral:rRNA from 1 species